rnacentral:rRNA from 1 species
CCUACGGGCGGCAGCAGUGGGGAAUAUUGGACAAUGGGGGGAACCCUGAUCCAGCCAUGCCGCGUGUGUGAAGAAGGCCCUCGGGUUGUAAAGCACUUUCAGUGAGGAAGAACGCCUGGUGGUUAAUACCCAUCAGGAAAGACAUCACUCACAGAAGAAGCACCGGCUAACUCCGUGCCAGCAGCCGCGGUAAUGCGGAGGGUGCGAGCGUUAAUCGGAAUUACUGGGCGUAAAGCGCGCGUAGGUGGCUUGAUAAGCCGGUUGUGAAAGCCCCGGGCUCAACCUGGGAACGGCAUCCGGAACUGUCAAGCUAGAGUGCAGGAGAGGAAGGUAGAAUUCCCGGUGUAGCGGUGAAAUGCGUAGAGAUCGGGAGGAAUACCAGUGGCGAAGGCGGCCUUCUGGACUGACACUGACACUGAGGUGCGAAAGCGUGGGUAGCAAACAGGAUUAGAUACCCCUGUAGUC